GGCUGCAAGCACAGACCCUUCCGGCAGCCGCAGCUGCGAGCACGCUCGGGGCACGCCACCGGAAGCCGCGUUACCACCCCGGAGACGGAAGUCAGACCUUGGAGUCACGGCUCUCCCGCGCUCGGGGUGGGCUCGUGGUGAAGGUGAGAGGAGUGUGCGCAAAAAGCUGUGCGCGGUUGGCUGCGUUCUGAACCGGAACAGGAAGGCCUGCCGACGGGUCGCCUGCCCCGAGCUUCUAGGAUUUUCUCUGAAAGCCCAGCUUUGGAGGCCUCUCUGUAGAGCAAUGUACAUUAGGAAGCAGUCAAAUGGAGCAGGAAGAGACACCAUUUCCAAGGUUAUCUGAAGUGUGGGAAGCAAAGGAGAAAAGAAUGGGUUUCUAUUGCUGUGACUAAACACUGUGCCCAAAAAGCAGCUUGAGGAGAGG